rnacentral:rRNA from 1 species
CUCAAAGAAGGGGGACGAACAGUUGGAAACGACUGCUAAUACCGCAUAAGCGCACGAGGAGACAUCUCCUUGUGUGAAAAACUCCGGUGGUACAGGAUGGGCCCGCGUCUGAUUAGCUGGUUGGCAGGGUAACGGCCUACCAAGGCAACGAUCAGUAGCCGGUCUGAGAGGAUGAACGGCCACAUUGGAACUGAGACACGGUCCAAACUCCUACGGGAGGCAGCAUG